GCCCCAGUAGUUUAUUAAAACGUUGCCCUUGUAAGUCAAAGUAGGGUUUGCCCUUGGGGCU
rnacentral:tRNA from 1 species